AAUUCUUUUUUCAUUAAUAACUUGUUUAUUUGAGCAUGCCUAGAAAUAAUUCCCUGGAAAUUCCAACCAUCAAAUCAAUCAAUCAAUACAAUCAUGGCGGGAAGCUGGACAGCUGUAGUGACUAGUGAGUGUAUAUCUAUGGCUGUUUGGAGGUUUCUAAACCUUUCUCUGUUUCCUGUAGAUAGUAAAAGUAUUUGAUAAGUAGACAGUGAAACCAGUUAGAUCAUACUGGCAAUGAAGGAAAGAUUGUGAAAGUGGGGCUUUACCCCUUUAAUAAUUUAGAGGAAGCUAUAAUCAAUAAUAAUUAAAAGAAUUAUUACUAUGGAUAUACAAAUGAGGAGGAAAUAGGAAAACCAUUUAAUGAAGGACAGUCUGUCCUCUGCAGGUCAUCUACUUGGGUCAAUCAAUGGUGCAGUCAAUAAUAUCCUAUUACGCGUACAGUAUAGCCUCUUUAUAAUGGACACUCUCUAUAGCAUACACCUCCAUUUAA